CUCCCUACAAGCCCCCAGCUCCAGAGACCUCCCCUCCCAAUCACUGAGCUUUCCCAAUCACCCUCAAGUGCAUUCAUUCAUCCCUCCACACCAUCACCACCUUAGCCUCUCAGCUUAAUCUGUGUCCUAGCACAAUAAAUUCUCUGAUAUAAGCACACACUAUAAUCCUCGAACUGGAGCUUGAAGCAGGAUGGUUAGAGGCUCAAAACCAACCUGGUCUGCCUGUUCACACCAGGUAUUUAAAAAAACAAACAAACAAAAAAAAAAAACAAAGGCAAAUAAAACCAACACUGACUUAUAGUCUAGGCCCUUGUGCGAUAUUAGAAUAGUUCUGCAUGUUCUUUAAAACUUGUAUUAAUCUGCUUGGGCUGUCAUAGUGAAAUACCACAUACUGGAUGGCUGAAGCAGUAAAUCGAUUCUUUCACAGUUCAGAGGCCAGUAGUCAGAGAUCAGUGGAAAAGGGCACUUAACUGUGAAAGCAAGAGGACCUGGGUUCAAAUCCUUAGGACCCACAUACAAGCUAGACAUGACUGCCCAUCCUGUAACCUGAAUGGGAAAAGAAAGAAAAAGAGAGGAAAUGUGACUGUUCGUAGUUAUGGUGGGGGAAGGUUUAUUAUAGACAGGUGGAAGAGUAUGGGCCGAGGCAGGGACAUCUGGGAGAGUCCAGGGUCUGUGUACAUAACCAGACUGAACUGAGUCAUGUGGGGAGGACAAGAGAGGGGAGAGAAGAAGGGGAGAGGUGGGGCAGAAAGGAGGCGAAUGGAGAGGGAGGGGAAGGGAACCAGGUGUAGCAGUCAGGAGGCCCAAAGGUACAAAAAAAAAAAAUAAUAAUUAAUUAAUAAAAAAAAAUCAGGUAACCAAAACAGGUGGAUUUUAUAGGGAGGAACAGCCCAGAGCCCUGGGCUGGAGAGUUCAGGGUUAGACGGGUGAGGUAUACUAGUCAGGGGCCCUGUAACAGGUAGUGACUAAGAGAUGCAGGGAGAACCUGGAGGCCAGGUCCUUUAGUAGGCACCUUCACCAUUUGUCCCAGGUUUGAGACCUAUUUCUUUUUUUACUUUCUUUUUACUUUCUUUUUUUUUUUUUUCUUUUUUUUCAGAGCUGGGGACCGAACCCAGGGCCUUGAGCUUGCUAGGCAAGCACUCUACCACUGAGCUAAAUCCCCAACCCGAGACCUAUUUGUUUGUUUGUUAAUUAAAAAAAAAACAAACAAAAACCUAAGCCUUUUUGUUGAUAAUUGAUGAAUGGUAUGGGAGGACACAUACAUAAUCUCCUCUCUUACUAUUUCCUGCUGACUUUGGAGCAUCAUUGUCAGGGCGGGGCGUCAGGGGUGGGGGUGUGCUAAAGAAGCUGGUGCGCUGGCUGAGACUGGGAAAAGUGGCUGCCCAGGCUCUGCAGGACCUUGUGGAGUAGUUUGUGAGGCUGGAUUACCUGGGGCUAGCCUCCUUGAAGCUGCUUGGGAUGUGGGUUGUGGGGGAGCACCCGGAGCUGGGGACUAGUCGGAUCUGGAAUCAACUGGGACAGAUAGACUAGGAGAAGAAGGGAAAGUUUAUCCUGGGUGCACAUUUGAAACUUUGAGGCCCAGGGUCCUCAAAGGUAGCUGGAGAGGGGAGCUCCAAGAUCAGGAAAAGGGAGAAAGAUCCCACCCUCAGGAACAGGCAGUGGGCAUUAAAAUUUAGGCUGUUGUUUGACACGAGUACUUAUUUGGGGUCCAUUUGACCUGUGAGAGGUGGGUCCAGCAGCUUACAAGAUUUUUUUUUUUUUAAGAUUAUAAAGACAAAAGUUCUGAUGUUGUUAGCAUCACCACUUUUGUAAUAUGUACUGAAAUCUGCACUGUGGGAAAGAGCAGUAGACUCGUGCCUCUGAAUGGAAGUAAAAGUGUGGGAAUGCCAAAAUGAUUUUGGGUUAGAAGCAUGAACACUCUCUCCAGAGUGCUGUGUAUAUAGACUGGACAGAGAUGCCUUUGGCAAACUGAGAAGCAUUUUUAAGUCUGUACUUAGGAAACGACCAAAGGAAAAUCUAACAUUUUAAAUUUGACUAUGAUACUAUUAACAAGUACUUUAGCAGAGCUAGAUUGAUGGCUUAUCAGAACUCCGCUGAUUAAUGUUUAAACUCUGAACUUUUGAAGUCUUAAUAAAGAUUGAAUCACUUUUUCUUUUACAUCCUGUUGUUUACCAUGAGGACCCAGGGGUGACUGCAGGAGUGCAGUUAUUGCAAAGAGUCCCCUUAAAGAAAGGAAUGGUGGGGUUGUAAGUUUUUAUGGGGUGUACAAUCUUUUUUUGGGGGGGGGUGUGAAAAUCUGAAUGCACUUUCAGUAUCAAGCCUCGCCGAGAGACAAGCUCUUCAAGCUGGAAGAGAAGCAUCCGGAAAUAUGAGUUUGUCAUGGAAACGCUGACAGGGCUUCAUUGGAGGGGCUGCUCACAGGUGCAGCCCGGAAUGGCACAGCCUCUCAUGGCUUAUUUCAAUUCCAGCCUGCUGACUGAGUCCUCUUUCCUGUUCUCAGGCCCUGAGAUAGUCUGAAGGUUUUCUUGGGUAGCUGGGUAGUUCUUACCAGGAAGGUGAGAGGGUUCAGAUUCCCAGGGCUGGAAAUAAUCUUGGUAUCAGUUUCACAUCUGAAAAAGGGCUUCUAGGGAGGGUAGAGGGAGAGCAGCAUAGAAAAGGAGGGCACAUUCCAGUUGUAUACAAGCCUCAGUUUUAGGUCUUCAUUCUGUAGUCUGCAGCCCAUUGAGGUGCCUGACUUCUCUGUGUUAUAGAAAAGCGAACAGGCUGAUGAUCGUCCCUCCCCACACACACCCGACUAGGAACCAGGACCACAUUUUCGGGUGGGUUGGGCAGACCACUGGUAUGGAAUUCAGGAGCUAGUCCCAAGCCAGCCCUUGUGGCUGAGACUAAAGUCAGGAAGUUCAGGCUUUACCUUAGCUACCAGGGAGAGGGCUGGAGAGGCAUUCCUCCGGGGAAAGCAGCACAAUGAACACCUCUUGAUCCUGUCAGGAGUGACUGAGUGACUGGAGUUAUCAGCAGGCCUUUGCUUUAGAGUGGGCUUUCUGUCUCUGAAGAUAUUCUUUGUUCUUCCCAACAGCCCCUCCUCCCUGGGAGUCCUAACCCACGGCUGAGAAAGGCACUAACUAGCAGCUUGGGGAAGUCAGAGGGCUGGGCCUGAGUGGCUCUGAGUGGGUUUGGGUAAAGGAAAAGGCUGACCCUGGAAGCUUUCAACCGGUAAAGAAAGUGUGCUCAUUCUAGCACCCGGUCUGAACUGGUAAAGGAGACAUGGAGUCCAAGGAUGGUGAAAGAAAAAGACCCAGUUCUUCAUACAUCCCUAAACAAAAUCCCAAAAGCAUUUUCCUACCCACACCACAAAACCCUGAUCUACCAUCUCUUGAACUGAAGCCAUCCAUGUUAUUUGGACUGUGACAAGAGAUGAGGUAACAGCAAGAUCCAUUUACCGAUAUUCCGGUCCUGUACCUCUGAGGCUCCAGCCACAACCUUCAGCAGCUCUUCUUAUUCCCUCCCAGUACUCCCUGAGGUGGGGAGCAGGGGCGGGGGUGGGAGGUGGGGAGGAGGGGCGGGUUUGUGUGUGUCCUCGACUGGUUUCAGUCUCUCUGCUAAAGCGCUGCUCCUACUGGGGCUGAUCGGAUCCGAGCUCAGGCUGAUUUCCGGCCCAUCUGUUCUCUGCAACACAGAUCCCACCUUUCUUGCCCCACCCGGAGUCUUCGGAGCUCGGGAAACAUUCCAGAGUGCUCAGGCUCGGUAUGAAUGUGUUGCUCAGUGCACUAGGCGAUCAGAACCGACUCCUCUCCUUUUUCCCUCAGAGGUGUUGAUAGUAACAGCAGCAACGAGCUGCCAAGUUGGCAGGAGAACAGAGCGGCUGUGCACUGCGGAUUGAGGGGGGCGGGGAGCAGCAAGCCCACAGAGGGCCGAGCCAGGAUGACAGUCUGUUUAUCCUCAAAUUAAAAAGGUCUCUCCAGGCUGAGCGACCAGCAUCCUACCUGGGGGUGGGGUGGGAUGAGGAUGCUGUGGUUUGAAGGGAGAGGCCCCAAGGGAGGCCUGAGGCUGAUGAUGCGGAUGUAGC
ensembl:lncRNA